UUAUAUAUAAAUUAAGUUCACUCUCGUCUGCUCCUCAUUCUUUGGGGAGCAGGAAUACACCCAUUACAUGCUACAUUAAAAAAAGGAGUUCUCAGGGCUGCCAACCUUACAGUAAAUUAAGUUCCCUCUCAAAAGU